GUGGUUAGCGGAGAAAUUCCAAUCGAGUCUGGAGAUAGCUGGUUCUCCUCGAAAUAGCUUUAGGGCUAGCCUCUAUUUGAGAUUACUGACGGUAGAGCACUGAAUGGGCUAGGGGGCUUCACAGCUUACUGAACCUUAUCAAACUUCGAAUGUCAGAUAAUUAUAAUAGGGAGUCAGACAGUGGCAGAUAAGUGUCAUUGUCAAAAGGGAAACAGCCCAGACCUACAACUAAGGUCCCAAAGUACAAGUUAAGUGGUAAAGGAUGUGUCACCACUAAGACAACCAGGAUGUUGGCUUAGAAGCAGCCACUCAUUCAAAGAGUGCGUAAUAGCUCACUGGUCGAGUGGUGGUGCGCCGAAAAUUAUCGGGGCUAAAACUUGUCACCGAAGUUUAGGCAUAUAAUUAUAUUAUAUGGGUAGAGGAGCAAUGUAUACAGGCUGAAGCAGUAUCGGAAGGGGCUGUGGACAGUAUACAAGAGAGAAUGCCGGCAUAAGUAGCGAGAGCAUAGUGAGAAUCUAUGCCGUCGAAAGUCUCAGGUUUCCUGGGGAAGGUUCGUCCUCCCAGGGUAAGUCGGGACCUAAGCCGAGGGCGAAAGCCGUAGGUGAUGGAUAACAGGUAGAUAUUCCUGUACCACCAAUAAACGUUUAAAUGAAGCAAUGACACAGAAGGAUAGUCAAGGUGCGGAGAUGGAAAGCCGCAUUCAAAUCAUGAGGCUAAGAGGUAGUGAAGUACGCCUCUUGUAAGGCUAGGUGAUGAAGAGGAGUGAAAAUUAGUAGCGAAGUUGAUGAAUUCACGCUGGCGAGAAAAGUUGCUAAAUAAGUUUAAAGGUGCCCGUACCGCAAACCGACACAGGUAGACGAGGAGAAAAUCCUAAGACGAGCGGGAUAACCAUUGUUAAGGAACUCUGCAAAAUUGCCUCGUAACUUCGGGAGAAGAGGCGCCAACGAGAGUUGGUCACAGAAAAGAGGCCCAAGCAACUGUUUACCAAAAACACAGGUCUCUGCGAAAUCGAAAGAUGACGUAUAGGGGCUGACGCCUGCCCAGUGCUGGAAGGUCAAGGGGAAAUGUUAGCGCAAGCGAAGCAUAGAACUUAAGCCCCAGUGAACGGCGGCCGUAACUAUAACGGUCCUAAGGUAGCGAAAUUCCUUGUCAGGUAAG
rnacentral:rRNA from 1 species